GAUGAACGCUAGCGGCAGGCCUAACACAUGCAAGUCGAGGGAGAGGUUACCUUCGGGUAAUCAAAACCGGCGCACGGGUGCGUAACGCGUAUACAAUCUGCCUUUCACAUAGGGAUAGCCCGAAGAAAUUUGGAUUAAUACCUAAUGGUAUAUAAGAGCGGCAUCGUUUUUAUAUUAAAGCUACGGUGGUGAAAGAUGAGUAUGCGUUCUAUUAGCUAGUUGGAGAGGUAACGGCUCCCCAAGGCGACGAUAGAUAGGGGUUCUGAGAGGGAUGUCCCCCACACUGGUACUGAGAUACGGACCAGACUCCUACGGGAGGCAGCAGUGAGGAAUAUUGGACAAUGGUCGGAAGACUGAUCCAGCCAUGCCGCGUGCAGGAUGAAGGUCCUAUGGAUUGUAAACUGCUUUUGUAAGGGAAGAAUAAGGGGUACGUGUACUUUGAUGACGGUACCUUACGAAUAAGCAUCGGCUAACUCCGUGCCAGCAGCCGCGGUAAUACGGAGGAUGCGAGCGUUACCCGGAAUCAUUGGGUUUAAAGGGUCCGUAGGCGGGCUGAUAAGUCAGAGGUGAAAGCGCUUAGCUCAACUAAGCAACUGCCUUUGAAACUGUCAGUCUUGAAUGAUUGUGAAGUAGUUGGAAUGUGUAGUGUAGCGGUGAAAUGCUUAGAUAUUACACAGAACACCGAUAGCGAAGGCAUAUUACUAACAAUUUAUUGACGCUGAUGGACGAAAGCGUGGGGAGCGAACAGG
rnacentral:rRNA from 1 species